rnacentral:lncRNA from 1 species
GGGACAAGAGGAAAAAAUAGUGCCCAGGCAGAAUGGGAGGUCAUACUGGAGACAGCACUGUGUAAAAGUCACCCCAGAAAGGUGACUUCUCAGUAGAUAAGUAGGAGAGAAAAUGACCUGCAUACAGAGACUUGCUUGUUAAUGUCUUGGAUCUGAAUGGAGAAGCGGGAAUAGUAUCCCCAAAAACCGCCUGAACGGAAGCUUGCACUCACAUGGAUUUGCAACCAGGAAUUUGUACUGUCUGUGAGGCCUGAAAAUCUCUCAACUGGUAACCAUGUUGAUAGCACUCCCCUUUGGCUGUGAGUCUCUGUGUCUGGGAAAAUCAAGAAGUUUUUUCCCACUUGCUC